AACAACGGAUCUCUUGGUUCUGGCAUCGAUGAAGAACGCAGCGAAAACGAUAAGUAA
rnacentral:rRNA from 1 species